GAUGAACGCUGGCGGCGUGCCUAAUACAUGCAAGUCGAGCGAACAGACGAGGAGCUUGCUCCUCUGACGUUAGCGGCGGACGGGUGAGUAACACGUGGAUAACCUACCUAUAAGACUGGGAUAACUUCGGGAAACCGGAGCUAAUACCGGAUAAUAUAUUGAACCGCAUGGUUCAAUAGUGAAAGACGGUUUUGCUGUCACUUAUAGAUGGAUCCGCGCCGCAUUAGCUAGUUGGUAAGGUAACAGCUUACCAAGGCAACGAUGCGUAGCCGACCUGAGAGGGUGAUCGGCCACACUGGAACUGAGACACGGUCCAGACUCCUACGGGAGGCAGCAGUAGGGAAUCUUCCGCAAUGGGCGAAAGCCUGACGGAGCAACGCCGCGUGAGUGAUGAGGGUCUUCGGAUCGUAAAACUCUGUUAUUAGGGAAGAACAAAUGUGUAAGUAACUAUGCACGUCUUGACGGUACCUAAUCAGAAAGCCACGGCUAACUACGUG
rnacentral:rRNA from 1 species